AAACGUCGCCGUGAGUGGGGAGGGGAUAACUACGGGAAACGGUAGCUAAUACCGCAUAACGUCGCAAGACCAAGAGGGGGACCUUCGGGCCUCUUGCCAUCGGAUGUGCCCAGAUGGGAUUAGCUAGUAGGUGGGGUAACGGCUCACCUAGGCGACGAUCCCUAGCUGGUCUGAGAGGAUGACCAGCCACACUGGAACUGAGACACGGUCCAG
rnacentral:rRNA from 1 species